CCUACGGGUGGCAGCAGUGAGGAAUAUUGGUCAAUGGACGAGAGUCUGAACCAGCCAAGUAGCGUGAAGGAUGACUGCCCUAUGGGUUGUAAACUUCUUUUAUAUGGGAAUAAACUGUUCCACGUGUGGGAUUUUGUAUGUACCAUAUGAAUAAGGAUCGGCUAACUCCGUGCCAGCAGCCGCGGUAAUACGGAGGAUCCGAGCGUUAUCCGGAUUUAUUGGGUUUAAAGGGAUCGUAGGUGGAUUGUUAAGUCAGUUGUGAAAGUUUGCGGCUCAACCGUAAAAUUGCAGUUGAUACUGGCAGUCUUGAGUACAGUAGAGGUGGGCGGAAUUCGUGGUGUAGCGGUGAAAUGCUUAGAUAUCACGAAGAACUCCGAUUGCGAAGGCAGUUCACUGGACUGCAACUGACACUGAGGCUCGAAAGUGUGGGUAUCAAACAGGAUUAGAUACCCUAGUAGUC
rnacentral:rRNA from 1 species